rnacentral:pre_miRNA from 1 species
CUGUAGCCAGUCAGAAAUGAGCUUAUUCAUAAAAGUGCAGUAUGGUGGAGUCAGUCUGUAAUUUUAUGUAUAAGCUGGUCUCUGACUGAAACGUGCAGCAGCUGUCUUC